GGUUUGUAUACUAUCAAAAUUUCGCAGAUAAGCCAUGCAUGUCUAAGUAUAAGCAAUUAUACCGUGAAACUGCGAAUGGCUCAUUAAAUCAGUUAUCGUUUAUUUGAUAGUACCUUACUACUUGGAUAACCGUGGUAAUUCUAGAGCUAAUACAUGCUAAAAACCCCGACUUACGGAGGGGUGUAUUUAUUAGAUAAAAAACCAAUGCCCUUUCGGGGCUCCUUGGUGAUUCAUGAUAACUAUACGGAUCGCAUGGCCUUGCGCCGGCGACGGUUCAUUCAAAUUUCUGCCCUAUCAACUUUCGAUGGUAAGGUAUUGGCUUACCAUGGUUUCAACGGGUAACGGGGAGUUAGGGCUCGACUCCGGAGAGGGAGCCUGAGAAACGGCUACCACAUCCAAGGAAGGCAGCAGGCGCGCAAAUUACCCAAUCCCGACACGGGGAGGUAGUGACAAUAAAUACUGAUACAGGGCUCUUUUGGGUCUUGUAAUUGGAAUGAGUACAAUUUAAACCCCUUAACGAGGAACAAUUGGAGGGCAAGUCUGGUGCCAGCAGCCGCGGUAAUUCCAGCUCCAAUAGCGUAUAUUAAAGUUGUUGCAGUUAAAAAGCUCGUAGUUGAACCUUGGGCCUGGCUGGCCGGUCCGCCUCACCGCGUGUACUGGUCCGGCCGGGCCUUUCCUUCUGGAGAGCCUCAUGCCCUUCACUGGGCGUGCUGGGGAACCAGGACUUUUACUUUGAAAAAAUUAGAGUGUUCAAAGCAGGCCUUUGCUCGAAUACGUUAGCAUGGAAUAAUAGAAUAGGACGUGCGAUCCUAUUUUGUUGGUUUCUAGGACCGCCGUAAUGAUUAAUAGGGAUAGUCGGGGGCAUCAGUAUUCAAUUGUCAGAGGUGAAAUUCUUGGAUUUAUUGAAGACUAACUACUGCGAAAGCAUUUGCCAAGGAUGUUUUCAUUAAUCAGUGAACGAAAGUUAGGGGAUCGAAGACGAUCAGAUACCGUCGUAGUCUUAACCGUAAACUAUGCCGACUAGGGAUCGGGCGAUGUUUCUAUUUUGACUCGCUCGGCACCUUACGAGAAAUCAAAGUUUUUGGGUUCUGGGGGGGGAGUAUGGUCCGCUAAGGCUGAACUAGAGA
rnacentral:rRNA from 1 species